rnacentral:tRNA from 1 species
CGCCGGGAGCUGUGCCUGAAGCAAAGGACCACUUUGAUAGAGUGAAUCAUGGGGGUUAAAGUCCCCCCAACUCCU